rnacentral:rRNA from 1 species
GAUGAACGCUGGCGGCGUGCUUAACACAUGCAAGUCGAACGAGAAGUGAAGACGGAAACCUUCGGGCGGAAGGCUUUAUUUCGAGUGGCGGACGGGUGAGUAACGCGUGGGUAACCUGCCUCAUACAGGGGGAUAACAGUUGGAAACGACUGUUAAUACCGCAUAAGACCACAGCACCGCAUGGUGCGGGGGUAAAAACUCCGGUGGUAUGAGAUGGACCCGCGUUCGAUUAGCCAGUUGGCGGGGUAACGGCCCACCAAAGCGACGAUCGAUAGCCGAUCUGAGAGGAUGACCGGCAACAUUGGGACUGAGACACGGCCCAAACUCCUACGGGAGGCAGCAGUGGGGAAUAUUGCACAAUGGGGGAAACCCUGAUGCAGCGACGCCGCGUGAGUGAAGAAGUAUUUCGGUAUGUAAAGCUCUAUCAGCAGGGAAGAAAAUGACGGUACCUGAGUAAGAAGCCCCGGCUAACUACGUG